rnacentral:tRNA from 1 species
GUGGCUGUAGUUCAGCGGCAGAACGCCUGACUGUGACUCAGGAUGUCGUGGGUUCAAAUCCCACCAGCCACCCCA